rnacentral:rRNA from 1 species
GAUGAACGCUGGCGGCGUGCCUAAUACAUGCAAGUCGAGCGGACGGACGAGAAGCUUGCUUCUCUGAUGUUAGCGGCGGACGGGUGAGUAACACGUGGAUAACCUACCUAUAAGACUGGGAUAACUUCGGGAAACCGGAGCUAAUACCGGAUAAUAUUUUGAACCGCAUGGUUCAAAAGUGAAAGACGGUCUUGCUGUCACUUAUAGAUGGAUCCGCGCUGCAUUGGCUAGUUGGUAAGGUAACGGCUUACCAAGGCAACGAUGCAUAGCCGACCUGCGAGGGUGAUCGGCCACACUGGAACUGGGACACGGUCCAGGCUCCUACGGGAGGCAGCAGUAUGGAACCUUCCGCAAUGGGCGAAAGUCUUACGGAGCAACGCCGCGUGAGUUAUGAAGGUCUUCGGAUCGUAAAACUCUGUUAUUAGGGAAGAACAUAUGUGUAAGUAACUGUGCACAGCGUGACGGUACCUAAUCAGAAAGCCACGGCUAACUACGUG